rnacentral:lncRNA from 1 species
CUUGGGCCGCUUGAGAUCCUCCUCCUCGGCGUCGGCGGCGGCAGCGGCGGCGUUGUCCCUGAACUUGGCGUAGAUGUCUCCCUUGUAGAACUUCCUGGUCCGCCACACGAGCACCAGCGACACGAGCGCCCCGGCCACCGUGGCGGCGGUGAUGAUGAGGAACGCCUUGCGGAAGCACUGCACGCCGAUGCAGGUCUUGUCGCCGCCGGCGAGGGACCCGCCGUGCUGCCUGGCGGCCUCGGCGUCGUAGAGCCCGCCGGCGACGCGGACGUUGAGCACGUAGGCGCCGAUGGGGCUCGCGACGGACCCGAAGUUGUAGAG